rnacentral:lncRNA from 1 species
CAAAUCAUUCUCUCUCUCUCUCUCUUACCAUUUUGAUCUCUUCUCAGGCAAUAAACUACCCAUCUCGGCGGCACUGUGAGAGCCCUGCUACGAUGACGCCGCCAUCAGAGAAAGAGCGUCUCCAUAGCAACAACAUUUUGUCGCUUUUCUCUCUAUCGUCGAUUUUGGCUCUACCAUGCUUUCCUAUGAAGCACUAAUCCGCAUGUCACUGUGCAGUGUUUGUCGCGAUAAUCACCAUGGUUCUAAGGGUGGUUGGGUGGCGGCGACGAUUCUGUUAGAUUUGGUGGUGUCUGUGGUUUUUAUUAGUAGCGGUGGUGGCAGAUCUUUGUUGUUGGGAUGGGUUUUGUUGGAUCUAACGAUAGACCUAGUGGUGGUGGAUUUGGCGGUGGCAAUGGUGCUUUUGUAGUUAAAAAUGAUGGGUGUUGAUUUGUUUGAUAUGGCAAUGUUGCUGUCGAGAAGUGAUGGUGGUGGUUUUGGCGAUGGUGUGACUGGAGGUAGUGGUAAAGUGGUGAACACAAGUUUUAGUGAUAGUUGAUUGUAGGGAUGUUGAAAGGGUCGAGCCGCUCGUCAGCUCGAUCGCUCGACUCGUCGAAAUAGGGUUCAUGGACGGCUCGAGCUCGUAAAAUCACGAGCGCGAGCGCGAGCCAAGCGGCCUCGUUGGGAGUCGGCUCGCCUUGAAGACGAGUCGCUCGUGGGCUCGUUGAAACGAGCCACGAGCCGCUCAGCUCAUGACUCGUUAUUUAUAGUGAUCAAAACGGUCAUUGAAAUUUUUUAUUUUUUAUUUUUUCCCUUCUAUUGUAAAUACCUUAACUCCCA